UUCCGGUUGAUCCUGCCAGAGGUCACUGCUAUCAGUAUUCGACUAAGCCAUGCGAGUCAAAUGUUUUUCGUAAACAUGGCGUACUGCUCAGUAACACGUGGAUAAUCUGCCCUAAGGUCAGGUAUAACUCCGGGAAACUGGUGAUAAUCCCUGAUAUGUCAUAGAAACUGGAAUGUUCUGUGAUUAAAAGCUCCGGCGCCUUAGGAUGAAUCUGCGGUCUAUCAGGUUGUAGUGGGUGUAGAGUACCCACUAGCCUACGACGGAUACGGGUUGUGAGAGCAAGAGCCCGGAGAUGGAUUCUGAGACAUGAAUCCAGGCCCUACGGGGCGCAGCAGGCGCGAAAACUUUACAAUGCGGGAAACCGCGAUAAGGGGAUACUGAGUGCCAGCAUAUUAUGUUGGCUGUCCACCUGUAUAAACAGCAGGUGUUAGCAAGGGCCGGGCAAGACCGGUGCCAGCCGCCGCGGUAACACCGGCGGCCCGAGUGGUGGCCACUAUUAUUGGGUCUAAAGGGUCCGUAGCCGGUUUGAUCAGUCUUCCGGGAAAUCUGACAGCUCAACUGUUAGGCUUCUGGGGGAUACUGUCAGACUUGGGGCCGGGAGAGGUAAGAGGUACUACAGGGGUAGGAGUGAAAUCUUGUAAUCCUUGUGGGACCACCAGUGGCGAAGGCGUCUUACCAGAACGGGUCCGACGGUGAGGGACGAAAGCUGGGGGCACGAACCGGAUUAGAUACCCGGGUAGUCCCAGCCGUAAACGAUGCUCGCUAGGUGUCUGGGACGGUGCGACCGUUUCAGGUGCCGCAGGGAAGCCGUGAAGCGAGCCACCUGGGAAGUACGGCCGCAAGGCUGAAACUUAAAGGAAUUGGCGGGGGAGCACUACAACGGGUGGAGCCUGCGGUUUAAUUGGAUUCAACGCCGGG
rnacentral:rRNA from 1 species